rnacentral:rRNA from 1 species
UUAAUGGAUACUUGGUGUGAAUUGCCGAAUUCCGUGAACCCUUGAGUUUUUGGACGCCAGUUGCCCCCGAAGCCUUUUGGCCG